GGUAUAGACCCGAAACCCGGUGAUCUAGCCAUGGGCAGGUUGAAGGUUGGGUAACACUAACUGGAGGACCGAACCGACUAAUGUUGAAAAAUUAGCGGAUGACUUGUGGCUGGGGGUGAAAGGCCAAUCAAACCGGGAGAUAGCUGGUUCUCCCCGAAAUCUAUUUAGGUAGAGCCUUGAGCGGACACCUUCGGGGGUAGAGCACUGUUUCGGCUAGGGGUCCAUCCCGGAUUACCAACCCGAUGCAAACUACGAAUACCGAAGAGUGAUACUCAGGAGACACACGGCGGGUGCUAACGUCCGUCGUGGAGAGGGAAACAACCCAGACCGCCAGCUAAGGUCCCAAAGUCUAUAUUAAGUGGGAAACGAAGUGGGAAGGCUUAGACAGCUAGGAUGUUGGCUUAGAAGCAGCCAUCAUUUAAAGAAAGCGUAAUAGCUCACUAGUCGAGUCGGCCUGCGCGGAAGAUGUAACGGGGCUCAAAUAUAGCACCGAAGCUGCGGCAUCAGACGAAAGUCUGUUGGGUAGGGGAGCGUUCUGUAAGCGGAUGAAGGUGAAUCGAGAGGUUUGCUGGACGUAUCAGAAGUGCGAAUGCUGACAUAAGUAACGAUAAAACGGGUGAAAAACUCGUUCGCCGGAAGACCAAGGGUUCCUGUCCAACGUUAAUCGGGGCAGGGUGAGUCGGCCCCUAAGGCGAGGCUGAAAAGCGUAGUCGAUGGGAAACGGGUUAAUAUUCCCGUACUUGGAUAAACUGCGAUGUGGGGACGGAGCAGGUUAGGUUAGCGCACUGUUGGAUAUGUGCGUUUAAGUUGGUAGGUGUGAAGUUUAGGCAAAUCCGGACUUCUUUAACACUGAGAGAUGAUGACGAGGCUCUACGGAGCUGAAGUAACCGAUACCACACUUCCAGGAAAAGCCACUAAGCUUCAGGUUUAUCUAAACCGUACUGAAAACCGACACAGGUGGUCAGGUAGAGAAUACUCAGGCGCUUGAGAGAACUCGGGUGAAGGAACUAGGCAAAAUAGCACCGUAACUUCGGGAGAAGGUGCGCCGGCGUAGAUUGUAGUCCCUUGCGGAUGAAGGUUGAACCGGUCGAAGAUACCAGCUGGCUGCAACUGUUUAUUAAAAACACAGCACUCUGCAAACACGAAAGUGGACGUAUAGGGUGUGAUGCCUGCCCGGUGCUGGAAGGUUAAUUGAUGGUGUAAUCGAAAGAGAAGCUCCUGAUCGAAGCCCCAGUAAACGGCGGCCGUAACUAUAACGGUCCUAAGGUAGCGAAAUUCCUUGUCGGGUAAGUUCCGACCUGCACGAAUGGC
rnacentral:rRNA from 1 species